UACGUAGGGACCAAGCGUUGUUCGGAUUUACUGGGCGUAAAGGGCGCGUAGGCGGCAAUUCAAGUCAGCUGUGAAAUCUCUGGGCUUAACCCAGAACGGCCAGCUGAUACUGCUUUGCUAGAGUGCAGAAGGGGCAAUCGGAAUUCUUGGUGUAGCGGUGAAAUGCGUAGAUAUCAAGAGGAACACCUGAGGUGAAGACGGGUUGCUGGGCUGACACUGACGCUGAGGCGCGAAAGCCAGGGGAGCAAACAGG
rnacentral:rRNA from 1 species